CUUGUACUGUGAAACUGCGAAUGGCUCAUUAAAUCAGUUAUCGUUUAUUUGAUAGUACCUUACUACAUGGAUACCUGUGGUAAUUCUAGAGCUAAUACAUGCUAAAAACCCCGACUUCAGGAAGGGGUGUAUUUAUUAGAUAAAAAACCAACGCCCUUCGGGGCUCCUUGGUGAAUCAUAAUAACUUAACGAAUCGCAUGGCCUUGCGCCGGCGAUGGUUCAUUCAAAUUUCUGCCCUAUCAACUUUCGAUGGUAGGAUAGUGGCCUACCAUGGUGGCAACGGGUAACGGGGAAUUAGGGUUCGAUUCCGGAGAGGGAGCCUGAGAAACGGCUACCACAUCCAAGGAAGGCAGCAGGCGCGCAAAUUACCCAAUCCCGAUACGGGGAGGUAGUGACAAUAAAUACUGAUACGGGGCUCUUUUGGGUCUCGUAAUUGGAAUGAGAACAAUUUAAAUCCCUUAACGAGGAACAAUUGGAGGGCAAGUCUGGUGCCAGCAGCCGCGGUAAUUCCAGCUCCAAUAGCGUAUAUUAAAGUUGUUGCAGUUAAAAAGCUCGUAGUUGAACCUUGGGCCUGGCUGGCCGGUCCGCCUCACCGCGAGUACUGGUCCGGCUGGGCCUUUCCUUCUGGGGAACCUCAUGGCCUUCACUGGCUGUGGGGGGAACCAGGACUUUUACUGUGAAAAAAUUAGAGUGUUCAAAGCAGGCCUUUGCUCGAAUACAUUAGCAUGGAAUAAUAGAAUAGGACGUGUGGUUCUAUUUUGUUGGUUUCUAGGACCGCCGUAAUGAUUAAUAGGGAUAGUCGGGGGCGUCAGUAUUCAGCUGUCAGAGGUGAAAUUCUUGGAUUUGCUGAAGACUAACUACUGCGAAAGCAUUCGCCAAGGAUGUUUUCAUUAAUCAGGGAACGAAAGUUAGGGGAUCGAAGACGAUCAGAUACCGUCGUAGUCUUAACCAUAAACUAUGCCGACUAGGGAUCGGACGGGAUUCUAUAAUGACCCGUUCGGCACCUUACGAGAAAUCAAAGU
rnacentral:rRNA from 1 species